rnacentral:rRNA from 1 species
UCUACCUUUUGCCAAUUUCAGCGGAUGACGGGAGCUUGCUCCUUGAUUCAGCGGGACGGGUGAGUAAUGCCUAGGAAUCUGCCUGGUAGUGGGGGACAACGUUUCGAAAGAAACGCUAAUACCGCAUACGUCCUACGGGAGAAAGCAGGGGACCUUCGGGCCUUGCGCUAUCAGAUGAGCCUCGGUCGGAUUAGCUAGUUGGUGAGGUAAUGGCUCACCAAGGCGACGAUCCGUAACUGGUCUGAGAGGAUGAUCAGUCACACUGGAACUGAGACACGGUCCAGACUCCUACGGGAGGCAGCAGUGGGGAAUAUUGGACAAUGGGCGAAAGCCUGAUCCAGCCAUGCCGCGUGUGUGAAGAAGGUCUUCGGAUUGUAAAGCACUUUAAGUUGGGAGGAAGGGCAGUAAGUUAAUACCUUGCUGUUUUGACGUUACCGACAGAAUAAGCACCGGCUAACUCUGUGCCAGCAGCCGCGGUAAUACAGAGGGUGCAAGCGUUAAUCGGAAUUACUGGGCGUAAAGCGCGCGUAGGUGGUUUGUUAAGUUGGAUGUGAAAGCCCCGGGCUCAACCUGGGAACUGCAUCCAAAACUGGCAAGCUAGAGUACGGUAGAGGGUGGUGGAAUUUCCUGUGUAGCGGUGAAAUGCUUAGAUAUAGGAAGGAACACCAGUGGCGAA